AUUGAACGCUGGCGGCAGGCCUAACACAUGCCAGUCGAGCGGAUGAAGGGAGCUUGCUCCUGGAUUCAGCGGCGGACGGGUGAGUAAUGCCUAGGAAUCUGCCUGGUAGUGGGGGAUAACGUCCGGAAACGGGCGCUAAUACCGCAUACGUCCUGCGGGAGAAAGUGGGGGAUCUUCGGACCUCACGCUAUCAGAUGAGCCUAGGUCGGAUUAGCUAGUUGGUGGGGUAAAGGCCUACCAAGGCGACGAUCCGUAACUGGUCUGAGAGGAUGAUCAGUCACACUGGAACUGAGACACGGUCCAGACUCCUACGGGAGGCAGCAGUGGGGAAUAUUGGACAAUGGGCGAAAGCCUGAUCCAGCCAUGCCGCGUGUGUGAAGAAGGUCUUCGGAUUGUAAAGCACUUUAAGUUGGGAGGAAGUGCAGUAAGUUAAUACCUUGCUGUUUUGACGUUACCAACAGAAUAAGCACCGGCUAACUUCGUG
rnacentral:rRNA from 1 species